rnacentral:rRNA from 1 species
UCGAGAAUCUUCCGCAAUGGACGAAAGUCUGACGGAGCGACGCCGCGUGAUGGAUGAAGUCCCUCUGGGACGUAAACAUCUUUUAUGAGGGAGAAAGUUUAUUGAUAGUACCUCACGAAUAAGGGGUUGCUAAACUCGUGCCAGCAGCAGCGGUAAUACGAGUGCCCCGAGCGUUAUCCGGAAUCAUUGGGCGUAAAGGGUGUGUAGGUGGCAUUGUUAGUCACACGUUAAACCCUGGGGCUUAACCCCAGAUCUGCGUGUGAUACGGCAAAGCUAGAGGAUGGCAGGGAUGUAUGGAACUCAUGGAGUAGGGGUGAAAUCCGUUGAUAUCAUGGGGAACACCAAAAGCGAAGGCAGUACAUUGGGCCACUCCUGACACUGAAACACGAAAGCGUAGGUAGCGAAUGGGAUUAGAUACCCACGUAGUCCCUGAGCGGGCUGGCAAGGCGCAU